AGAGCCGUGCGGCGGGUGUGGGUGGAGGUGUGCGUGCGGGGAGCUCGUCUCCAGACCGCGGUCUGCCUUCGUCUGCGUCACCUCUGCCUUCCCUCGCAGACGGCGAGCUGGGCGUGUACAAGUCGGUACCGCCGCCGCGGGACCUGGGCGUUACGGGCGUCACAGGCGGCCCGCCGCUGCCCGGCCGGCUGACGGACCGGCCGCUGUCGGGCAGCGACCCGGCGCUGGCUAACCUCGGCGGUCGUCUGCUCCCCGCACAGGUCACGGGUCUACCGAUCCCACGCGCCUGGCAGGAGAGCAAUGGAGUGAGCCAGUCGAUGUUCGACGUGGCCAACGCCGCCCCAGAUCGGACGACGAAC